AAUGUCCUUCGGGGGAUGGUGAAACUCCACACCGGCGGUGAAAGCCCGCGAACCCGGCACUUGUUCUGUUUGUAAGUGUCCUGGUUGAUCCAGUGAAAAUCUGGAGCCGACAGUGAAAGUCUGGAAGGGAGAAGGGAUUC
rnacentral:ncRNA from 1 species